rnacentral:misc_RNA from 1 species
CCCUUUACUUACCAAGAAACUGCAGUUUCAUUGGAACAAAAUAACAUCAAUUAUGAAUCAUGCAGUGAUUUGUCCUAAUCUCACAUUCCUCAUAUGUACAUAAAUGUCAUAAAAUCUCAACUUGCAAUUGUCAGUGUUUCCUAACUCAUAAUGUUAGCGUCUUGUGCUUCGAGCCAAAGCACCACCAUUGGCAAACGAGUUAAAUUGAACACAGAGAUUUGCUUCACUGUAUGUUCUUCACUUUGUCCUGAGUUAAAGCCAUUGCUUUGUUGUCGGGAGGGGACGUCCUGGUAUUCCUUCUAGAGUCAUCAGAGUCGAUUGGUUUUCCUCCAAGAGAAGAU